GAACAAUAAAAAAGGAGCUAACUCUCCGAAGACCCCUCGAUAUAGCCAAUCGAUGCUCCUUAUCGUCGGACGAGUCAAGCAAAGAUCAAGAAUAUGAUGAAGGGGCUAAUCCUCUGGAGACCCCUCAGCUGAGUUGACUAGAACACCUCACCUAAAGACAAACUGGAUAGAGAUCAGACUUUAAUCUUGGAGCACUAGCUAUAUACGUCCUACACAAUGGAUGAACCAAAGGAGUACUGACCUCUACAACUUGUGAAACUCUAUGGAUGGCAAUGAAGGAUAGAUGAUAAAAGCAAUA
rnacentral:lncRNA from 1 species